UGCCUUACUGGUACGGGUGAGCCAACCGGUACUUCGAGCGCCAUGCACUUUCUCAAGGAUCAGCUCGGCACCCCCUACAGCAUUUGCGACCAGAGGCGCAGCGUCUUAAACGACAGCGUUUCAAAACACUAGGUCUCACGAGGCAAGCAUGCAACAAUCAUCCUUAAGAUAGACGCAGCAGCAUCAUGGCCAGGGAAAGCCGAAGAAGGAAGUUCCAGCUCUGACUGAGGUCUGCAGACCGCGACUUCGGGACCACGGUCUUCCCACAGGACCAGUGCAACUGUAAAA